GUGCCAGCAGCCGCGGUAUACGUAGGGAGCGAGCGUUGUCCGGAUUUACUGGGUGUAAAGGGUGCGUAGGCGGCUAUGCAAGUCAGAUGUGAAAUGUAUGGGCUCAACCCAUGAACUGCAUUUGAAACUGCGUGGCUUGAGUGAAGUAGAGGUAGGCGGAAUUCCCUGUGUAGCGGUGAAAUGCGUAGAGAUAGGGAGGAACACCAGUGGCGAAGGCGGCCUACUGGGCUUUAACUGACGCUGAGGCACGAAAGCGUGGGUAGCAAACAGGAUUAGAUACCCUGGUAGUCCACGCCGUAAACGAUGAUUACUAGGUGUGGGGGGUCUGACCCCCUCCGUGCCGCAGUUAACACAAUAAGUAAUCCACCUGGGGAGUACGGCCGCAAGGUUGAA
rnacentral:rRNA from 1 species